rnacentral:rRNA from 1 species
GACGAACGCUGGCGGCGUGCUUAACACAUGCAAGUCGAACGGAACGGCUCUGCUUGUGUGGGGUGCUGGAGGGGCGAACGGGUGCGGAACAGGAAAGUAACCGGCCCUUGACUUUGGGAUAGCUUCAGGAAACUGGAGCUAAUACUGGGUAGGGGCACCUGCUGCAUGGUGGGGGGUGGAAAGUUGCGGCGGUUGGGGUUGGACUGGCGGCUCAUCAGAUUGUUGGUGGGGUAGUGGCAUGCCAAGGCUUUGCAGGGUAGCCGGCCUGAGAGGGUGACCGGCCAGAUUGGGACUGAGAUGAGGCCCAGACUACAACGGGAGGCAGCAGUGCGGUAGGUAGUACACUGGGCGGAACCCUGAUGCAGCAACGCCGCGUGGGGGGUGACGGGCUUCGGGUUGUAUCCUGCUUUCGCCUGUGACGAAGCGUGAGUGACGGUAAUGGGUAAAGAAGCACCGGCUAACUACGUG